AAGGUACUCAAGGGCGCUAAAUGGAUGCCUAGACGUAUAUUACCGACGAAGGACGUGGAAGACUGCGAUAAGCUUCGGGAAGCUGUCAACAAGCUUUGAUCCGGAGAUCUCCGAAUGGGGAAACCCAGCAUGAGUCAUGUCAUGUUGCCACUUGCUGAACACAUAGGCAAGCGAGCGGGAACCAUCUGAACUGAAACAUCUUAGUAGGAUGAGGAAGAGAAAGUAAAUAACGAUUGCGAAAGUAGUGGCGAGCGAAAUCGCAACAGCCCAAACCUUUUAAGUUUUUGCCUAUUAAUUUAGGCAAAUAAGUUGAUAGACGAAUACUUAUAAGGGGUUGUGAUAUUACAUAUGACCAAGUCAGAGAAUUUGAUUCAUUCAAAUAAUCUGAUUUGCGAUAACUGGCUAUCAACAGUUAGUAAGGUAAGAAAUCGGCGUGGUUAGUAGAAUAGUUUGAAUGACUAGCCAAAGAACGUGAAAGCCGUGUAUAUGAAAACGACGCUGACCUUAUGUAUGUUUUAUCGAGUAGGACGGGGCACGAGAAACCCUGUUUGAAUCUGGCUGGACCACCAGCCAAGGCUAAAUAUAAUAUACGAUCGAUAGUGAACUAGUACAGUGAUGGAAAGGUGAAAAGAACCCCGGGAGGGGAGUGAAAUAGAUCCUGAAAUUUAGUGCCUACAAGGAGUCGGAGCCGGCUUGUCCGGUGACGGCGUGCUUUUUGUAGAACGAUCCAGCGAGUUAAUUUUUACAGCGAGGUUAAGUCAAUUGACGGAGCCACAGUGAAAGCGAGCCUGAAUAGGGCGAUUAAGUUGUAAGGAUUAGACCCGAAACCGGGUGACCUAACCAUGAGCAGGUUGAAGCCACUGUAACAGGUGGUGGAGGACCGAACCAGGAUACGCAGCAAAGUGUUUGGAUGACUUGUGGUUAGCGGUGAAAUGCCAAUCGAACUCGGAGAUAGCUGGUUCUCCUCGAAAUAGCUUUAGGGCUAGCGUCGUGUUAGUAGCACAUGGGGGUAGAGCUCUGUAAAGGACUGGGGCGGGCAACUGUACCCACCCUUAACAAACUACGAAUACCAUGUGUGUAAUCACGGCAGUUAGAACAUCGGUGCUAAGAUCGGUGCUCAAAAGGGAAACAGCCCAGACCAUCAUCUAAGGUCCCUAAAUUAACGUUCAGUGGGAAACAAGGUGAGAUUUCUUAAACAGCUAGGAUGUUGGCUUAGAAGCAGCCAUUCAUUUAAAGAGUGCGUAACAGCUCACUAGUCAAGAGAUCUUGCGUGGAAAAUGUAACGGGGCUAAAACGUUAUACCGAAGAUAUGGAUNNNNNNNNNNNNNNNNNNNNNNNNNNNNNNNNNNNNNNNNNNNNNNNNNNNNNNNNNNNNNNNNNNNNNNNNNNNNNNNNNNNNNNNNNNNNNNNNNNGCGUGGUAGAGGAGCGUUCCUAUCAGCAGUGAAGUCGAAUCGGAAGGUUCGGUGGAGCGGUAGGAAGUGAGAAUGCUGGAAUGAGUAACCAUAAGAGAGGUGAGAAUCCUCUCGGCCGUAAGAGCAAGGUUUCCUGAGCCAUGGUAAUCAUCUCAGGGUUAGUCGGGCCUAAGCCGAGGCGCAGAGCGUAGGCGAUGGACAUCAGGUUAAUAUUCCUGAACCGGUUAAGUUUUGUACACUGUUCACGGGGAAGUAAUCGAAGCGGAUUCAUGGUUUAUCCGUCCAACCGAGCGGGAACGCAAAGGGAGUGAAAGUGAUUCUUCGGAGUCGCGAUUUUGGUGAAAGCCCUGGCUAGAAAAGCAGGUGUACGCGUGGACUUAGCCGCCCGUACCGCAAACCAACACAGGUGCUCGAGUCGAGUAGACUCAGGCUUACGAGCGAACCUUCGCUAAGGAACUCGGCAAUACAGCGACCGUAACUUCGGGAUAAGGUCUGCCCCCACUUCGGUGGAUAUCAGCCGCGUUCACUCAGUGAAUAUUAGGUUAAAGAGUACAUUUUUAAUCACAAAACGAAUUUUCUGAGAUAGAGCAAACGAAUUGUUCUUUUGAACGCGAACCUCUGGCAUCUAACGAUGUGGGGGCCGCAGCAAAAGAGCCCACGGAACUGUUUAUCAAAAACACAGGUCUCUGCUAACACGAAAGUGGAUGUAUAGGGGCUGACUCCUGCCCAAUGCUGGAAGGUUAAGGGGAGCGCUUCACGGUGCGAACUGAAGCCCUAGUCAAUGGCGGCGGUAACUAUAACCGUCCUAAGGUAGCGAAAUUCCUUGUCAGGUAAGUUCUGACCCGCACGAAUGGAGUAAUCAUGUGGGCACUGUCUCAGCGAAGGACUCGGUGAAAGUGCAUUGGCGGUAAAGAUGCCGUCUGUCCGUACCAGGACGAAAAGACCCCAUGGAGCUUUACUACAGCUUUACAUUGAAUAUGGUUUCAACAUGUGUAGCAUAGGUGGGAGACUUUGAAGCAGAUACGCCAGUAUUUGUGGAGUCACCAAGUGAAAUACCACCCUUGUUGUGAUUGUGUUCUCACGCUGACCGUUAUCCGGUUAGCGGACCGUGUAUGGUGGGUAGUUUAACUGGGGCGGUUGCCUCCUAAAGAGUAGCGGAGGCGUUCAAAGGUUGGCUAACUUCGGAUGGAAAUCGAAGUGAUAGUGUAUGCGCAUAAGCCAGCUUGACUGUGAGGAGUACAUUCCAAUCAGAGACGAAAGUCGGAGCAAGUGAUCCGCUGUACGUACAUUUGUACAUGAAUGUGGGAUCGACAGCGCAAACGGAUAAAAGUUACCCUGGGGAUAACAGGCUUAUAGCGCCCAAUAGUUCACAUAGACGGCGCUGUUUGGCACCUCGAUGUCGGCUCAUCACAUCCUGGAGGGGGAGCACCUUCCAAGGGUUCGGCUGUUCGCCGAUUAAAGUGGUACGCGAGCUGGGUUCAGAACGUCGUGAGACAGUUCGGUUUAUAUCCGGUAUGGACGAUAGGAAACUUGAGAGGAUCUACCCCUAGUACGAGAGGACCGGGGCGGACGCACCUCUGGUGUAUCGAUUGUGGCCACCUGCUGCAUUGUCGAGUAGCUAUGUGCGGACUAGAUAAGCGCUGAAAGCAUAUUAAGCGCGAAACUAACCUCAAGAUAAGGUUUCCCUAUGAGGACACAGAAAGACUAUCUGUUUGAUAGGCGCAAGGUGGAAGUACAGUAAUGUAUGGAGCUAAAGCGUACUAAUAGUCCCAUUGCCUUUUUAUG
rnacentral:rRNA from 1 species